GCAAAGACUCCUGAACCUAGGACACAUAAGAGACAGCAAAGGAGUGAACAUACUGGAGACUCAACUACUGCCUUCUCCAAUUCCAUAUUCAUUGGGCAUUGGAGUGGGGAGCAGAAAGAGUAAUGCAGUUAGUGUGCAAGAGACACAGUGAAGGAGAACAAAGAAACCAUGAUAUCAGAUACAUUACAAACACAGUCAACUCUCGCUGCCGUUAGGAUAUUAAUUAUUAGUUCCUUACAAAGACAUUACGUAUGGUGUAUGCCAGGCUAUAUAUAGUUCCUUCUCCAACCACCUAGAAGAUUUCAGUCACGAAGGUCAUCUUUGUAAAUUCUCUUCACUAGUUGCCAAGUUCUCAUUACCCCAUGCCUCAUCAUUCACCCGUUUUCUGAAUUCAGCUCAGCACUUUGUGUCAAUAAAGCAGUGAAGGCGGCAGAAGAGAGCCUAGCAACUCCAUGGCACAAACCUUGUGCAGUCUCAAUACACCUUUUCAAAACAGCAUGACAGAA